UCUUCGGAGAGUUUGAUCCUGGCUCAGGACGAACGCUGGCGGCGUGCCUAAUACAUGCAAGUCGAGCGAAUCGAUGGGAGCUUGCUCCCGGAGAUUAGCGGCGGACGGGUGAGUAACACGUGGGCAACCUGCCUAUAAGACUGGGAUAACUUCGGGAAACCGGAGCUAAUACCGGAUACGUUCUUUUCUCGCAUGAGAGAAGAUGGAAAGACGGUUU
rnacentral:rRNA from 1 species